AAAAAGAGAAGAAGAAGAAGAAAUCAAUCAAAAUCAAAAGAAAUCAAAAGAAAUCAAAUCAGAAGAAAGAAAAAAAAAAGAAAAAAAAGAAAGAAAAAAGAAAACAAAAAAAAAAGCACCCUCAAAGUCCCAAGUUGACUGAUGCUGAAUUCGAUCAGAAGGAAGAGAUUAACUGCCAUGUGACAUGGUCAGUUGUAUCAGCAGAGAGUGAAAAAGCAUU
rnacentral:lncRNA from 1 species